rnacentral:tRNA from 1 species
UGGUCUUAAGGUUAUUAAUGUUAAAUUGCAAAUUUAAAAAUGAUGUAUGUCUAAGACUUA